rnacentral:rRNA from 1 species
AUGCACGCUGGCGGCGUGCCUAAUACAUGCCAGUCGAGCGAACAGACGAGGAGCUUGCUCCUCUGACGUUAGCGGCGGACGGGUGAGUAACACGUGGAUAACCUACCUAUAAGACUGGGAUAACUUCGGGAAACCGGAGCUAAUACCGGAUAAUAUAUUGAACCGCAUGGUUCAAUAGUGAAAGACGGUUUUGCUGUCACUUAUAGAUGGAUCCGCGCCGCAUUAGCUAGUUGGUAAGGUAACGGCUUACCAAGGCAACGAUGCGUAGCCGACCUGAGAGGGUGAUCGGCCACACUGGAACUGAGACACGGUCCAGACUCCUACGGGAGGCAGCAGUAGGGAAUCUUCCGCAAAGGGCGAAAGCUUGACGGAGCAACGCCGCGUGAGUGAUGAAGGUCUUCGGAUCGUAAAACUCUGUUAUUAGGGAAGAACAAAUGUGUAAGUAACUAUGCACGUCUUGACGGUACCUAAUCAGAAAGCCACGGCUAACUACGUG